AAAAAGUGCUACACGCUCUUCUUUUUUCGCUCUUGGUACGCGUUUCCAUCUCAGCAGCCUUUUAUAUAUUACCUUUCUCUUGGCACUUGAGCAAAAAGACUCAAAGUCAGUCAACCAGGGCAGUUCGACCUCCCUCCUCCGCAGGCGUGGCCAUCUAGAUCUAGCCUCAAAGCAACCCAGACUUGAGACUCCCAAUUCCCAAAGCAUACUGCUUACGACAACAAGAGGGGCCGCACUGAGAGCUGCCACAAGCAAAAGGCAGUACAUCUAAGCUCUAGGAACAUCUGAUUUGGAGAUGGCACAAGCAGCAGCAGCACAUCCGAGCUCCAGGUAUUUGAGGUUGCCUUAAGGCUCUAACCAAGAUCCUAUUCCUUGGGUUCUUUAUUACUCCUGCUAAGUUCGUCCAUUUGUGCUCUGCUUCGUACAUAAUCUGCUUGCUUUCAUUGCUAAUUUCUUGGGCAAUAACUUGCUCCUUGUCCCAAGCCUGAUCAGGUACCCAAGGUCCAACACUAGGUCGUAAAUCAUCACAUCUAAAAGUCUAAACGACGCGGUUUAUUCUUUUGUGCUUUAAGCUGUGGAACCAGAAGGCUGUAAGGGUUUGCCUGCAAUAGCAAUUAGCAAAGAAGUAGUACUUCAGCAACAGAUGCUAAAGAGUAAAGAGCUACACUUGUUUCCUAAGGUCGGUAUGGAAGCUGCUAUAGUAUCUGGAAUAUUGAAGGUUGUCGGCAGCAAGCUAGCUCCACUACUAAUCAAGGAGUACAGCUUGAUAGUCGGUGUCCAAAAGCAUCUCGAGGAGCUAAACGAUCAAGUUCAGGAGAUCAACUGUUGGUUGGAAACAGUAGGAGAUGAAGUUGCGCGAAAUGGUCCAGCACUUAAUUGGCUAAGAAAGUUGAAAGAUAUAGCUUAUGAUGUUGAUGAUAUCAUUGAUGACUUUCAGCUGGAGGCUGAGAGGCAUGAUGCCCACGGUGUUGGUGGUGCUGUGUCCAACUACUUGUAUGCAAAACCAAAAUCUCUUAUACUUCAAUGCAAGGCAGCCAGCAAGCUCAAGGCAGUCAAAAAGAGAUUUGAUGACGUUGUGAAGCAAAGAACUGAAUUCAGUACAAUAGCAAACAGCUUACUAGCUAAUCAUCCUGCUCAUGAUAUGAAUCAUAAUACUGCGAACAUGAUGUCAUUGCCUACUGUGGAUGUUGCAUCAGUGCUCGGAAGAGACCAAGAGAAGCACCAAAUAAUAUCUAAACUGGUAGAGACUAAUGACCAACAAAGAAUCAAGACUGUUUCCAUCAUCGGGCUUGGUGGCUCUGGAAAAACUACAUUAGCUAAGCUGGUUUUUAAUGAUUGUAGCAUUAUAGAGAAGCAUUUUGAAGUCAGACUAUGGGUUCAUGUGUCACAAGAAUUUGAUGCUGAAAAGCUCAUCAAGAAACUGUUUGAAGCUUUUGCUGAUAACAAUCCUGGACAGCAUGCAGUGCCGUAUAUGAGCAAAACAAUCUCAGAAAAGUUGACUGAAAAGAGGUUUCUGCUUGUAUUGGAUGAUGUUUGGACUGAGUCCCAAAUCCUGUGGGAACAAUUCAUGGUACAUCUGAAGGUUAGUGCACAUGGAAGCAGGAUUUUACUCACUACCCGUAGUGGAAAAGUUGCAGAAGUAGAGGGAUCCGCGUACCAAUUUAACUUGCCAUUUUUAUCUCCAAACGACAGCUGGAAACUAUUUCAGCAAAGCUUAGUAAUGCACCCUGAAAGUUUGGGGAUUGAAUUUAUAGAUGUUGGAAAAGAUAUUGUGAAAAAAUGUGGUGGGGUACCACUAGCAAUUAAAGCUCUUGCAGGUGUCCUCCGUGGCAUGGAACUGAUAGGAGAAUGGCAGGCCAUGAGAGACAACAACUUGUUGCAUUUUGUGGGUGAAGAACGUGGUGUAUCAGUGUCUGCAUGCUUGAUGUUGAGCUAUUUCCAUUUGUCAUCUCAUUUGAAGCAGUGCUUCACAAUAUGUUCAUUGUUUCCCAAAGGUCACAAGAUUGAUAAAGAGCAAUUGAUUGACCUAUGGAUUGCUCAUGACAUGAUCAUCACUCCUGAGUCUGAGCCUGGUGUUGAUUACUUGGACUAUAUCGGCCACAAGUGCUUCAAUUCUCUUGUGCAAAUGUCUUUCCUACAAGUUGAGAAUGAAUUUGAUGGGAGAGUGACAUGCAGCAUGCAUGAUUUGGUUCAUGAUCUGGCCCGGUCCAUAUUGGAUGACAAUAUUUCACUUGAUGUGCCAAAGGAUCCAUCCAGUUGUACCAAGAGCUACAGAUACUUUUCAUUAACUAAACGGGCACAAAAUCGACCGCGCAAAAAUCUUUUUCAAAAAGCACGUUCUAUAUAUGUUGAUAAUUUUGGUGAUGCAAUAUUUGGGGCAUUGAAGAACGCAAGACACUUGCGCAGUAUCACCAUAAGAACUAGUGCAAUACCCAUUGCCAUAUUGCAGGUAAAAAAUCUGAAGUACCUUGUGAUUUCAGGUCUGCGAUGUGAGGCACUCCCAGAAGCUAUUUCAGAUAUUUGGAGUUUACAAACUCUUCACGUUUCAUUUAGUGAUCUUCUUGAGUUGCCUAAAUCCAUGGGUAAGCUGAAGAAGCUAAGGAAGCUGAACCUAUUCCGGUGUAGGGAGCUAAAGUGUUUACCGGAUUCUAUUGGUGAUUGUGAAAUGAUUCAAAGCAUUGAUCUUUGCAAGUGCGAGAAUCUCACAGUGUUGCCGGAAUCUAUUGGCAGAAUCGAAAAGCUAAGAGUUUUGAGUCUAGGUAACACCAAUAUUGAGAGGCUACCAUCAAGUAUCACAACACUGAGAAAUCUGGAGUGUCUAGACCUUCACCAAUGUUGUGAGCUGGUCGAGUUGCCUGAAGGCAUCAUCAACUUGGAGAAGCUUCAAGUUUUGAAGCUUACAGGUUGUGAAAGAUUGCGAGGCAUGCCUGUUGGCAUAGGACAGCUUAGUCGGCUACAAAAGUUGAAUUUAUUUGUUGUGGGUGAGGGCCAAAAGUUUGCAGCAAUUUCUGAGCUUGGAAAUGUAGGUAGGAUUAGUGAGGUUCUAACAAUAAGAGGUAUUGAGAAUGUGAUGGAGCCGAACGAUGCACACAAGGCAUGCUUGAAACAGAAGGCAGACUUACAAAGGUUGGAGCUACAGUGGAGGAGGUGUGCCAGGGGUGAAGAGAGCACUAAAUUGGAGCAGGCUGUGCUUGAUGGUCUGGAAUCGCCACCAGGGAUUAAAGAGCUGGAAAUUGAUGGGUAUUCAGGUAGGGAAUGUGCGCGGUGGAUGCAUAAUCAUGUUGGUGGCGGAGUACAGAGGCUUCCUUACUUGCCAUUUUUGAGGGUGAUGAAGCUAUACGAGUUCCCAAAUUUGAAGCAUCUGGAUGGGCUUGCGGAGCUGCCUUGUUUGGAGGAGCUUGAGCUGUGGAAGAUGCCUUCUCUUGAGAGCAUAAGCGGAGGCCCAUUUCCUUCUCUGGUGAAGUUAGUUAUGUGGAAGCUGCCUAGUCUGGGAGAGGUGUGGAUGGUAGCCGAGAAGAGCAUGCCGGAUGGUUGCAACAAUUGCACACCUCACUUGGGGCAAGUCCUCACAGUGGGCAGUUGCGUAUCGAAUGUGGAUAUAUCUGAUUGUCCUAAGUUGGAGGUGAAGCCGUACCUGCCUUUGUCGCUGCAGCACUUGGAAUUGUACCGGAGCAAUGAACAGCUGCUGCAGUCGCCGUGCGAGUGCAACGGGUCUGCCUCUUCGUUCUCCGGUUUUAGUCAUUUGAAGAAGCUUCUGCUACGAGGGAUUACAGGGUGUGGACGUGGGUGGGAGCUGCUGCAACACAUGACGGCACUCGAGUCAUUACGGAUUCUCGACUGUGAUGAGCUAACCGAGCUACCAGAGUGCUUCUGGAGUCUCGAUUCCCUUCAGUAUCUACAAGUGAGCGGAUGCUCUGCUAUUUGCAUGCUGCCCGAAUCGCUAGGGGAACUCCAGUCUCUGCAACAGUUGGCCAUCAUGCAGUGCAAAAGCCUAAGCGGUCUUCCACAAUCAGUGGUUCGUCUCACAUCCCUCCGGGAGCUCCGUAUAAUCCGGUGCAAUGUAUUUCAAGAAUUACCCCAACGGCUGGGAGAGCUCCGCUGUCUACGCCAACUCGAAAUUUCUGGGUUGUGGGGGCAGACUCGCCUUCCCGAAUCCAUGUGCGGCCUCACCUCCCUUGAAGAACUCAUGAUCCGGGACUGCCCGGGCAUCAAAUCCUUGCCGGAAGGGAUAAAGGGCCUCACCUCUCUACGGAAAUUGGUGGUCUGGGACUGCCCUGAUCUGCACAGGCGGUGCAAGAGAAGAAAGGGGGAGGACUGGCAUCUCAUCUCCCACAUCCCUGCUCUGAUCCUUUCUUAAGGGUUAAGGCGACUGCCCGCUGCUCCGCUAGGUGCUAGCCCUUCACCUUCACCAGGUCUGAUACGCGUGAGAACCUAUUUCUGGAUUUUAACUAACCUCUAGCGAUGAGACCCCCUUUUUGUGUAUUAUAUUAACUGGAGAACCUAUUUCUGGAUUUUGUUUCAUUAUUUGCAAAUUGUUCCAACUCGAGAUAGGAGCUACGCUCAUACAGUCUGCUCUGCUAACUGCUUUUGCCAUGAAGAAUGCAGUGCUUGUACACAAUGCAGUUAUCUUGUGGUGUUUCUCAGACUGCACCGUUAUGAUUGCAUGCCUCGUUUUACUAUUUUCCGUUCCGGUUGAUGCUGCAUUGUCAUUUGUCAAACUGAUAACGCUGCGCAGGUUGUGCUUGUAUGUGCAUUUGUGCUACCAGAGUAGUUAUCAUUAGUGGCCAACGGGGGAAAUAUGUUCAAGCAUGAUUUGCGCGGCACCGCUCUCCUUACUUUUCUGUGAAUUUGUUAUUUUAUUUGAAUUUUUCCUACGCUGAAUUGCACAUUAUGCGCAGCUUCAAACUAC